GACAGCAGUAGCCACGGUAAUACAGAGGGUGCGAGCGUUAAUCGGAUUUACUGGGCGUAAAGCGUGCGUAGGCGGCUUCUUAAGUCGGAUGUGAAAUCCCUGAGCUUAACUUAGGAAUUGCAUUCGAUACUGGGAAGCUAGAGUAUGGGAGAGGAUGGUAGAAUUCCAGGUGUAGCGGUGAAAUGCGUAGAGAUCUGGAGGAAUACCGAUGGCGAAGGCAGCCAUCUGGCCUAAUACUGACGCUGAGGUACGAAAGCAUGGGGAGCAAACAGGAUUAGAUACCCGUGUAGUCCCUGUCUCUUAUAC
rnacentral:rRNA from 1 species